rnacentral:pre_miRNA from 1 species
UAGCUACUCCCUCCGUCCGAAAAUACUUGUCAUUAAAAUGAACAAAAAAGAAUAUAUGUAGAACUAAAAUACAUCUAGAUACAUCCUCUUUUAUUCAUUUUGAUGACAAGUAUUUUCCGGAAGUAUUUU